rnacentral:rRNA from 1 species
AAAACAUGUCCUUUAGAAUUUAAUUUAAGGUCUGACCUGCCCACUGAAUUAAAUGGCCGCAGUAUUUUAACUGUGCAAAGGUAGCAUAAUCAUUAGUCUUUUAAUUGAAGGCUUGUAUGAAUGGUUGGACGAAAUAUUAACUGUUUCAUAAAAAUUUAUUUAGAAUUUUAUAUUUUAGUCAAAAAGCUAAAAUUUUUUUAAAAGACGAGAAGACCCUAUAGAUCUUUAUAAUUCGUUAAUUAUAGUUAUUUAGAUUAUUUAAAUUAUUAUUUUAUAGAUUAUUUUGUUGGGGUGACAUUAAAAUUUAAUUAACUUUUAAUAAGUUUUUACAUUGAUUUAUGAUUAAUUGAUCCAUUAUUAAUGAUUAAAAAAUUAAGUUACCUUAGGGAUAACAGCGUAAUUUUUUUGAAGAGUUCAUAUCGAUAAAAAAGAUUGCGACCUCGAUGUUGGAUUAAGAUAUAAUUUUGGGUGCAGCAAUUCAAUAAUUAAGUCUGUUCGACUUUUAAUUUCUUACAUGA